UGGUCUUACAGGGGCUUGGGACCAUUCCCAGCUAUUUAUUCAAGUGGAUUCUUGGACACAAACACAAAUCCUCCAGCGUGUAUAACAUGUGUUCUUACGGUGGAACCAUCUAUCCAGCCUUGUGUUUAUAAUUUUUAAUUUAGUUAGCUGAAACAGGAAUCAUAGGCCUCCGCACGGCUUCUGGCAACAGCAUAGACCAUAAACAUGGUCCUGGCUGCAGAAGACGGAAAACCCAGACAAGGCAGCCUGGACCAUGAACGUCAUCGUGACCUCAGCGGGCAGCACAGGCUACUUACGUCAAUAUGGCCCAUGGCAGCAGCUCGGCCCAUGGAUAUCAACAUGGCUCAGAUCACAGAUCACAGAUAUCCAAGUGUCCGUCGUUGGUAACACAGGACAUCAACAGAGACCCUGCUGUAGUAAAAAUUAAAUUAAAAUUAAUUUGAUUUAAUUUAAUUUGGUCUUAUGACCCAGACAUUGCCCUGAGUGAAGCAUGAAUCCAGACAAAGCCAUGGCCUCAGAGAGCAUCACGGGUCACAUCUAUAUGCCACAUGCUGGCACCCCACACCUCAGACAUCAAUGUGAUUUCAGGCUGCAGCAUAGCCCACGGGCAUCGGAAUGUCCUUUGGUGAUAACACAGUCCACAGACAUCAGCACACAUCUGGCUGCGGUAGAACCCAGACAUGGUCCUCUGCGGGAGUACGGUUGGGAUAUCACCAUGGCACAGGCCACUCACAUCAGUCUAGUCCUCACCACUGUCAUGUCUCCACAGCAUAUACACCACUCUGUUUAUUUUAUCUUCUCUGUCUCUCUCACAACGCAGAGCAGCAUUUGCUAUCUCUUAUAUUCACCUAGACUUUUAUAUGGUCCUAGACUUCAAUCACAAGUCUAGGACACGAUGUUUUCUAGGUAACAGAAUCUCUCAACCAUCACAUCUUGUAAAUAUCACUUUAAAUAAAUAUCAGCGUGAGGUGGAAUGUUGCUACAGAGUCUGAAACUAUGUGGGCACUCAGAGAAUAGAAGAUCAAAUGUUCAAAGACUUGGCUCUGCAAUGUCCCAAACUGCACCUGUGUUAAUAAAAUGGUCUUUUCAACUCA